GGGGUUGUGGCUCAGCAGUAUAGAACUUGCUUACCAUGUGAGAGGCCCUGGGUUCGAUCCUCAGCACCUCA
rnacentral:tRNA from 1 species